rnacentral:rRNA from 1 species
UACGUAGGGGGCAAGGCGUUGUCCGGAUUUAUUGGGUCGUAAAGAGCGUGUAGGCGGCUUUACAGGUCCGUUGUGAAAACUCGAGGCUCAACCUCGAGACGUCGAUGGAAACCAUCUGGCUAGAGUCCGGAAGAGGAGAGUGGAAUUCCUGGUGUAGCGGUGAAAUGCGCAGAUAUCAGGAAGAACACCCGUGGCGAAGGCGGCUCUCUGGUACGUGACUGACGCUGAGACGCGAAAGCGUGGGGAGCGAACAGG